rnacentral:rRNA from 1 species
CUAGACGAACUGCCGUUGCAAAACGGAGGAAGGUGGGGAUGACGUCAAAUCAUCAUGCCCCUUAUGUUCUGGGCUACACACGUGCUACAAUGGCCGGUACAGACGGACGCAAAGCCGCGAGGUGGAGCAAAUCCUAAAAAAGCCGGUCUCAGUUCGGAUUGCAGGCUGCAAUUCGCCUGCAUGAAGUCGGAAUCGCUAGUAAUCGCAGGUCAGCAUACUGCGGUCGAAUACGUUCCCGGGCCUU